UUGCUUUGGCAGCACACAUUCUAAAGUUGGAAUGAUACAGAGAAGAUUAGCAUUGCCCCUGUGCAAGGAUAACAUGCCAAUUCAUUAAGCAUUCUGUAUUUUC